CAGUCGCCGCGGUAAUACGUAGGGUGCAAGCGUUAAUCAGAAUUACUGGGCGUAAAGCGUGCGCAGGCGGUUUGUUAAGACGGAUGUGAAAUCCCCGGGCUCAACCUGGGAACUGCAUUCGUGACUGGCAAGCUAGAGUAUGGCAGAGGGGGGUGGAAUUCCGCGUGUAGCAGUGAAAUGCGUAGAUAUGCGGAGGAACACCGAUGGCGAAGGCAAUCCCCUGGACCUGUACUGACGCUCAUGCACGAAAGCGUGGGGAGCAAACAGGAUUAGAUACCCCCGUAGUCCCUGUCUCUUAUAC
rnacentral:rRNA from 1 species